CAUGCAAGUCGAGCGAACAGAUAAGGAGCUUGCUCCUUUGACGUUAGCGGCGGACGGGUGAGUAACACGUGGAUAACCUACCUAUAAGACUGGGAUAACUUCGGGAAACCGGAGCUAAUACCGGAUAAGAUUUUGAACCGCAUGGUUCAAUAGUGAAAGACGGCCUUGCUGUCACUUAUAGAUGGAUCCGCGCCGUAUUAGCUAGUUGGUAAGGUAACGGCUUACCAAGGCAACGAUACGUAGCCGACCUGAGAGGGUGAUCGGCCACACUGGAACUGAGACACGGUCCAGACUCCUACGGGAGGCAGCAGUAGGGAAUCUUCCGCAAUGGGCGAAAGCCUGACGGAGCAACGCCGCGUGAGUGAUGAAGGUCUUCGGAUCGUAAAACUCUGUUAUCAGGGAAGAACAAACGUGUAAGUAACUGUGCACGUCUUGACGGUACCUGAUCAGAAAGCCACGGCUAA
rnacentral:rRNA from 1 species